UGAAAGUCACGGAAAAAAAAAAUGAGUAAACGUGGUUCCCCCUGCCCAUAAGACUGGGAUAACUCCGGGAAACCGGGGCUAAUACCGGAUAACAUUUUGAACCGCAUGGUUCGAAAUUGAAAGGCGGCUUCGGCUGUCACUUAUGGAUGGACCCGCGUCGCAUUAGCUAGUUGGUGAGGUAACGGCUCACCAAGGCAACGAUGCGUAGCCGACCUGAGAGGGUGAUCGGCCACACUGGGACUGAGACACGGCCCAGACUCCUACGGGAGGCAGCAGUAGGGAAUCUUCCGCAAUGGACGAAAGUCUGACGGAGCAACGCCGCGUGAGUGAUGAAGGCUUUCGGGUCGUAAAACUCUGUUGUUAGGGAAGAACAAGUGCUAGUUGAAUAAGCUGGCACCUUGACGGUACCUAACCAGAAAGCCACGGCUAACUACGUGCCAGCAGCCGCGGUAAUACGUAGGUGGCAAGCGUUAUCCGGAAUUAUUGGGCGUAAAGCGCGCGCAGGUGGAUUCUUAAUCUGAUGUGAAAGCCCACGGCUCAACCGUGGAGGGUCAUUGGAAACUGGGAACUUGAUGCAAAGGAAGUGGAAUUCCAUGUUAGGGGAAAGCGUAAAUUGGAAGAAAGGGCAAGACUUCGGUGAAUACGC
rnacentral:rRNA from 1 species